rnacentral:rRNA from 1 species
UACAGAGGUCUCAAGCGUUGUUCGGAUUCAUUGGGCGUAAAGGGUGUGUAGGUGGCGCCGUAAGUCAGGGGUGAAAUCCCUCGGCUUAACCGGGGAACUGCGUCUGAUACUGGAUGGCUUGAGAUUGGGAGAGGGAUGCGGAAUUCCAGGUGUAGCGGUGAAAUGCGUAGAUAUCUGGAGGAACACCGGUGGCGAAGGCGGCAUCCUGGACCAACACUGACGCUGAGGAGCGAAAGCCAGGGGAGCAAACGGG